rnacentral:lncRNA from 1 species
AUGCCUGAAAGCAAAGCAUCACCAGACCUCCCGUGGACAGCACAGCCCUUGCCAGGGACUGGCAUGCAUACUUUGCCUCAGCACACAGCACUGAGGGUGACAGGCACUGCUGCGGCAGGGCCCUGCGUCACACGCGGGGUGAGAUCACCAGCUCUGGAGAUGGCGAUUCAACAUUGUUCCUGCUUCUUCAGGAGAAAGGCAGCAAGGCCUCAUGGUUCCAUGGAUAUGAUGGAACUGCACAGGAAUGGUACUGAAAUAAUGUGGUCACAGGCCAUUAUCAGUCCAACUUUUCUGUCCUACGAAGCUGUGGUGAAGCUGACUGACUGUCUGAAAUUACUCCUACUAUUUUCUACAAGAAGCCAAAAUUAGACUCUGCAGACAAUUCGGAAGCAGAUGGCAAGGUCUGACCAUGUCUCUAACAAAUAUAGGAUACAGUCCAGGUAAAGCUGCCUUAUUGUUCAUUAGAUAGAUGCCUAAUGCUUGUCAGUGCUACACAGGGGUUUUCAUGGCAUACACACAUUGUGGCUCUGAGAUAGUGCAGGACCCUUCAAGGUUAUUUGUUCUUUUUACAAGAUUAGCUGCCUCCAAAGACACAGAGUGACUCCCUAACGCUGGGUUCCCCAACUUAAAAUACUCCACACUUCCAGAAAUCAGCAGUUUGUUGUUUUGUUUUGCCCAGGAGCUGCCUGUCACUAUUGAAAAACUUAGUAUACUUACAUGCCAUCUGCAUAACUAAAGCAGCAUCAAACCCUAUUUGUUCCAGGACCUGUUUUUUUUUUGUUUUUUUUUNUUUUUUUUUUUUUUUUUUGUGGAGGAUGAGUUGUGUUUUAUUUGCAGUCAUGUUAUGUUUCUUUAUUAGACUGAACCUUAACAAAAUAUACGUACAUAUAUGUAUAUACUCCUCCCAAAAUGCAAAUACCAUUGGCCAUUUGCAGAGGAAGGAAGAGCAUCCUCUGUUUACCUGUUCAUUUGCUAAAAUCCCCCAAACCCCACCUUUCUAGAUUCUCUGAAUCAAUCUGGGACUGAAGCCAAAGUCACCUGCUAUAUAAGACUGAGAGAACACAGGUGAACUACUCCUCCUGACCAAUCUUAGACCCAGCAUCCUUGUGCCAGACUCCACUCAAGAUGGGGUUUGGCAGGAGGAUACGGGUAACAGAAUGGGCUUUCCUGUUAGCAGUUUGCUGUAUCCAUCAGACAGGUAAGGAGUUUUUUGUUGUUGUUGUUUGUUUGUUUUUUAAUUCUAUUAAUAUAUUUUAAGCAACUAAACUCAUUUUAUUGGUUCACUUAACAAAUGGUUGCACUUAAAUGAGACUUUUCUGUACGUUACUUUCAUUAAAUAUUUAGUGUCUGCCUAUUAACUGGACUGACUUAAUUUAAUGUUCCCUCAAGCCACUGUAUAUAACCAUAUUUGGAAGGUAGUCUUGCAGAGCAAACCAAAAAGAACCAUUAUUCAUGUCCAUUAAUUCAAGUGUCAGUUGUUCAAUACUGCCUAUGCCUUAUGAAAGCAUUUUAUUUCUUUUGUAUUUCGUAGUGAGAUUGAUUAUGAAUGUUAUGUUCUUUUUAUGCAAUUUAAAACACUGCAUUUCCCCAUUGCUAGACCAGACCACUGGUCAUUCUUUUCCACCAACUAGGAGCUAGUAUCAGAUUCCUCAAGAUUUCUUGCAGCUUCUUUUGCAAAAGAGACUGGAAGGGUAUAUUCAUGUGACAACGAUUUUCAGUAACGUUUGUACAUUGAUAGUACAUUAUGUGUGACAUUUAUGUAAAUUGUUGGUUUUGAGUAUGAGCAGGACUGGGAGAUUUAUCUGAUGCAUGCAAUCCAUCAUUUUGUGUGUGUGUAUGUUUUUUCUACUGACAAUAUUACAUUAAUCAGGGCUGAUCUUGUCAGAUUUUAUUAAGUCCUGUUCAGUUAAUCGGACUGCUCAAAUAGAAAUUACUUGCAUGAGUACAAGCUUGUUGAGUCAAUUCCAUUCAUGUACAGUAAUUACUGCCCUGUCAGUUAACAUUUUAAAAUCUUCAGAUUGCCUCUGAAUUUAUACUUCAUAUCAUUUUAAAAACAAUGACAAGUGCAAAUAUAAUUUUUGGCUAUGAAAUAAACAUGUAUAAGUUGAUAAACACGGUAAGGUGAUUUAAGCAAAAAAUACAGCAGUCACUUUGAGUGUAAGCUUACACUCUUAGAGUUAUACAACAUCAGUCAAAUCAUCCUCAGCCCUUCGCUAAACAAGCAAGUUAUUUGUGAGGUGCAAUGCUAACCUGACAAAUUGCUUUGAUAAAUGAAUAGUGGUUAGACCAAGUCCAG